rnacentral:rRNA from 1 species
UGGGGAAUAUUGGGCAAUGGGCGCAAGCCUGACCCAGCCAUGCCGCGUGAGUGACGACGGCCUUAGGGUUGUAAAGCUCUUUUGGCGGGGACGAUAAUGACGGUACCCGCAGAAUAAGCCCCGGCUAACUUCGUGCCAGCAGCCGCGGUAAUACGAAGGGGGCUAGCGUUGUUCGGAAUCACUGGGCGUAAAGCGCACGUAGGCGGACUUUCAAGUCAGGGGUGAAAUCCCGGGGCUCAACCUCGGAACUGCCUUUGAUACUGUUGGUCUCGAGUCCGAUAGAGGUGGGUGGAAUUCCUAGUGUAGAGGUGAAAUUCGUAGAUAUUAGGAAGAACACCGGUGGCGAAGGCGGCCCACUGGAGCGGUACUGACGCUGAGGUGCGAAAGCGUGGGGAGCAAACAG